UGCUGAGAUUACAGGCAUGAGCCACUGUGCCCGGCCCCUCUUCAAUUUUUUUCAUCUAUGUUUUAUAGAUUUCUUAAUUGUAGCCAGGGCUGACGUGUCAUUGAGAUUUUUAUUCAAUUUUUUAAACACUUUAAGUCCCACAGACAACAUCAUGUCAGGUCUUUAUGAUUUUGGAGUUUAGAUUUGGUUUCCUCCCUCUAUGAACCCUCCUUGUUAUAAAUUGAUUUUGUCACCCCCUUUCAAAUUCAUAUAUUGAAGUCCUAAUUCCUGGUACCUAAUGCGACCUUAUUUGAAAAUAAGGUCAUUGUAGAUAGAAUUAGUUAAGAUGAGGUAGGAUGGGCCCCUAAAUCAAUAUAACUGGUGUUCUUUAAAAAGUGGGAACACACACAUUCAGGGAGAACACUAUGUGAACCUAAAGGCAUAGAUUGGUAUGCAUCUACAAACCAAGAAACUCCAAAGCUUGCUGGCAGAAGCUAUAAGAAAGGGGUGGAGCAGGUUUUUCCCUCACAGCUCAUGGAAGAAACCAACAGUGCCAACAACUUGAUCCUGGACUUCCAGCCUCCAGAACUGUGAGGUAAUAAAUUUCUGUUGCUUAAACCACUCAGCAUGUGGUAUUUCAUGAUGUCAACCCUAAGAAACUAACACUAAUACACUUUCUUCACAGUUGUGCCAGAAAAUUGUCUCAUUAGCUGAUUAGUGACUCCCUUAUUAUUUCUGCUUUUGUACAUUGAGUGGGAAUAUUUGCAUAUCAUUGAUGCCAGAAUCUAUCCUUCAAAAUGAUGGCCAUUUUAAAAAUGGAUAAUAUCUUUAAGCAUUGCCUUGCCCUUCCAAAAGGUGAAAAAAAAGUGAGGCUUGGUAAGGAGGACAAGAUCUGCUAAAACUUGCCAUUAAAAAAUAUUAUAGCAGAUCUCUGGAUACGUUCCAGUAUUAAAACACAUUUGACAGAAAUAUGAGAAAUGAGAGACCAUACUACCAAUGUCAUUCUAUCAAUGUCUUUAAGAUGAGAGCAAAGAAGCAAGAGGAUCAAGGAGGAAAAUAAUAAAGAAUCCUUGCUAUCAAGCAGAAAGGGGAUUGGCCUUGAUCAGUGGGAAAGUUAAAAAGGGCCACAAAAUUAAACUGCUCCUUAAAAAAUAGAAAAGGAGAUAAUGAAGUCAAGGGAAAAGCAACAUUAGUAUCUGGAUUUAAUUCAUGACCUUCUUAGUCCUAGGAGAAUUUGGGCCAGGAGAAUUUCCUAAUCAGCAGCUGCACUCCCCACUUCUAGUUCUCUGGGCCACAUUUGACAAAUGUAGAUCUGAAACUUUAAUAUGGAUGAGAAUCACCAGAGGUCUUCUAAAACAGAUUGCUGUCUCUCUUCCCACUGCACCCCAUAGUUGCCAUUUCAUAGGUCUGGAGUGGGGUCCCAAUAACUUGCAUUUUUAAUGAGUUCCCAGGUAAUGCUGAUGCUGCUGAUCUGGGGGCAAUACUUUAAGAACCACUGGACUGUAACAAUGUCAAACCUGCCUGAUGAGAAGAAUCACCUGGAAGGUUUAAAAAAAUGCAAAAUCCUCGGCCCCAUGCCAGACUUUCUGACUCAACCUCCAGGGAAGAGCCUAAAAUUUUCUAUUUCAACAAUCCUGCCUGAUUAAUAUGAUUAGGUGAGUUUGGAAAAUGCUACACCAAAUCUCUAUAAAUUCCCUUUUUUAGCAUCUGUUGUUUUUCCACUUGGUUUCAGUGAAUUUUGCAAUAUGGCAGUAGCUAUGUGAUGAGCUAAGAGUAGCACAAGUACUAGGUUCUGUACCUUGAAUUUCCUGAUCCCAUUGGCUGACCACAGUACCCUGCUUUUUCUUUUUAUGAACAUGUGCCUUGGGAGAGAGUCUUCCUUAAUCCCAACUGGCCCUGGUAUCAUGAUGUCAUCCAGAGGCCACUCUGAAACCAACUCAGAUGAUGUAGCCUUCACUGCAAGAAUUUGUUUGUACCAGCUCUAUGCCAUACACCGUGAUAGACACACCAGACGUGGAAGUGAGAAAUAUGGUUCCCAUCUUGGAUAGCAAAGAAGAUGGACAAAUAAACCAACAAAUUAAACACAGAAAAACGUUUUCUAAAGGAAGGAGGUUUCUUGAAGGAAGUGGUACUUCUGUUGAAAUAUGAAAGAUGAGUGAGGGUUAGUCACAUACAGAAAGGGAGAAGGGAGUAUCCAAUGUAGAUAGAACAGCAUAUGAAAAGCACAGAGAUGUGAGAGAGCAGGUAGGCAUUGCUGUAAAUCCAGGUGGAUGUAAAAAAAAUCAGAGCCUUGCAGGAACUAGGUUGUAGAAAGCUCUGUGGACUAAGUUUAGUUGGUUUAACUUUAUCCUAAAAGUCACAGGAAAAUAUUAAAGAUGUUUAAAAAAGAAAAAAAAGCAGAUUUUCAUUUUAUUAACAAAACAUAACUCUGGCAGCAGGUGUGGAAAAUGGAUGGAGGGGCCAGGACCAGAAGAAAGACACCUGUUACUGAAGCAAUGCAGAUGGGAAAUGAUGGAGACCUAGAUGUAGACCAUGCCAGCAAAGACGGAGGGGCAGAAUUGAGUAAUACUUGUAGAACUAAUGUAACUUACAGGAUGAUUAGAUACAUAGAAAGGAGACUAACUCAAUCCUUUAUUUUUCUUCCUUUUUCAAAAGUUUUUUUAAGACUAUAUUACUAUCUUUUCCCCAUUCCCUCCAUACUUAAUAUGACAGUUAGCUAAUUUUACUUGAAUACCUAUGUCUUAUUCUUUACCAACACCAUCAAGCAGCAGCAUCUCCCUACCACCACCACAACAAGCAGCAAGUGUUUAUGGAGCACCUCUUAAUAAAUUAUCCUUUGUCUUGUUUUGUGACAAAUUUACAUUCCUCUCUGCUUUACUUUUGCUUUAUCCUGUAUUUUUCAUUGUUCUGUGGUUUAGCGUGUAUUUUCUUCUGCUCUUCCAGGACCAUAGGAUUUCAGAGCUUGUUACUUAAGUUCUCAGGUUUUUGAUAUGUACUUGGAAUUUUAUUUUUUACUACUUUCUCAAAGUAAUGCUCCACAAAUAUUUCUUAUGUAAUUCCAAUGCAUCUAAAGAGAUUUAGCAUUUGAGUUUUAUGUUAAACCAAUAAACUGAUUAAAGCCAUAAUUAGCAAUCACCAACUUUUAUCUGGAAAUAAACUGAAAACUAUUAUUCACU
rnacentral:lncRNA from 1 species